UAUUUCUCUAAAGAAGACAUACAGAUGGCCAACAAACACAUGAAAUGAUAUUCAUAAUCACUUACCAUUAGGGAGAUGAAAAGAAAACUACAAA